rnacentral:rRNA from 1 species
UUGUAAGUGUCUAAGGGCGCAUGGUGGAUGCCUUGGCAUCGAGAGCCGAUGAAGGACGUGGGAGGCUGCGAUAUGCCUCGGGGAGCUGUCAACCGAGCGUGGAUCCGAGGAUUUCCGAAUGGGGAAACCCAGCACGAGUGAUGUCGUGCUACCCGCAUCUGAAUAUAUAGGGUGCGGGAGGGAACGCGGGGAAGUGAAACAUCUCAGUACCCGUAGGAGGAGAAAACAAUUGUGAUUCCGCAAGUAGUGGCGAGCGAACGCGGAACAGGCUAAACCGCACGCAUGGGUAACCGGGUAGGGGUUGUGUGUGCGGGGUUGUGGGAGGAUAUGUCUCAGCGCUACCCGGCUGAGAGGCAGUCAGAAAGUGUCGUGGUUAGCGGAAGUGGCCUGGGAUGGUCUGCCGUAGACGGUGAGAGCCCGGUACGCGAAAACCCGGCACCUGCCUAGUAUCAAUUCCCGAGUAGCAGCGGGCCCGUGGAAUCCGCUGUGAAUCCGCCGGGACCACCCGGUAAGCCUAAAUACUCCUCGAUGACCGAUAGCGGAUUAGUACCGUGAGGGAAUGGUGAAAAGUACCCCGGGAGGGGAGUGAAAGAGUACCUGAAACCGUGUGCCUACAAUCCGUCAGAGCCUCCUUUUCCUCUCCGGAGGAGGGUGGUGAUGGCGUGCCUUUUGAAGAAUGAGCCUGCGAGUCAGGGACAUGUCGCAAGGUUAACCCGUGUGGGGUAGCCGCAGCGAAAGCGAGUCUGAAUAGGGCGACCCACACGCGCAUACGCGCGUGUGAAUAGUGGCGUGUUCUGGACCCGAAGCGGAGUGAUCUACCCAUGGCCAGGGUGAAGCGCGGGUAAGACCGCGUGGAGGCCCGAACCCACUUAGGUUGAAGACUGAGGGGAUGAGCUGUGGGUAGGGGUGAAAGGCCAAUCAAACUCCGUGAUAGCUGGUUCUCCCCGAAAUGCAUUUAGGUGCAGCGUUGCGUGGUUCACCGCGGAGGUAGAGCUACUGGAUGGCCGAUGGGCCCUACUAGGUUACUGACGUCAGCCAAACUCCGAAUGCCGUGGUGUAAAGCGUGGCAGUGAGACGGCGGGGGAUAAGCUCCGUACGUCGAAAGGGAAACAGCCCAGAUCGCCGGCUAAGGCCCCCAAGCGUGUGCUAAGUGGGAAAGGAUGUGCAGUCGCAAAGACAACCAGGAGGUUGGCUUAGAAGCAGCCACCCUUGAAAGAGUGCGUAAUAGCUCACUGGUCAAGUGAUUGUGCGCCGAUAAUGUAGCGGGGCUCAAGCACACCGCCGAAGCCGCGGCACAUCCACCUUGUGGUGGGUGUGGGUAGGGGAGCGUCCCUCAUUCAGCGAAGCCACCGGGUGACCGGUGGUGGAGGGUGGGGGAGUGAGAAUGCAGGCAUGAGUAGCGACAAGGCAAGUGAGAACCUUGCCCGCCGAAAGACCAAGGGUUCCUGGGCCAGGCCAGUCCGCCCAGGGUGAGUCGGGACCUAAGGCGAGGCCGACAGGCGUAGUCGAUGGACAACGGGUUGAUAUUCCCGUACCCGUGUGUGGGCGCCCGUGACGAAUCAGCGGUACUAACCACCCAAAACCGGAUCGAUCACUCCCCUUCGGGGGUGUGGAGUUCUGGGGCUGCGUGGGAACUUCGCUGGUAGUAGUCAAGCGAAGGGGUGACGCAGGAAGGUAGCCGUACCAGUCAGUGGUAACACUGGGGCAAGCCGGUAGGGAGAGCGAUAGGCAAAUCCGUCGCUCACUAAUCCUGAGAGGUGACGCAUAGCCGGUUGAGGCGAAUUCGGUGAUCCUCUGCUGCCAAGAAAAGCCUCUAGCGAGCACACACACGGCCCGUACCCCAAACCGACACAGGUGGUCAGGUAGAGCA